AAUCAUCACAGCUGAGUCUGGACAGGACGUCACUCUGACAUGUCGAGCUCCAAAUAAAAAUAUCAAAUUUGUAUAUUGGAGCAGAGCUGACCUGGAGUCAGAAUAUGUCCUUGUGUACCGAGAUGAGCGAGUUUUUACAGAUCACCAGCAUCCAUCUUUUAAGAACCGGGUUGAUCUGAAGGACAGACAAAUGAAGGAUGGAGACGUGUCUUUGAUUUUAAAACGUGUGACAAGUGUGGAUGAUGGAACAUACAAGUGUCGUGUUUUCAUGGAAGAAACAGACUCAUGGAAGCUCAUCAGCAUCAUCAGCCUGAGUGUUGUUGAUCCUCCAGACCAAAAAAAACCACUGUGGUUAAGUCUGGACAGGACGUCACUCUGACAUGUCGAGCUCCAAACAGCAUCUUGAUCACUGCUGUGAAGUGGAGCAGAACUGACCUGGAGCCAGAAUUUGUCCUUUUGUUCCAGGAUAGUUUGUUUGUUACAGACAACCAGCAUCCAUCUUUUAAGAAUCGUGUGGAUCUGCAGGACAGACAGAUGAAGGAUGGAGACGUGUCUUUGAUUCUGAAGGAUGUGACGAUUAAUGAUGCUGGAACAUACGAGUGUCGUAUCUUCAUGAGAGGAACAAACCACAAGAACAGUAAACCCAUCAGUAGAGUCACACUGAGUGUUGAUCCUCCAGGUAAGGCAGGAGGAGACACAGAGGAUGAAGGGAAGAAGGAUGGAUCUGUUGGGCUGAUCGUUGGUUUAACUGUUCCAGCUGUGCUUCUUGUUGCUGUUGUUGGUAUUUUGAUCUACAAAAAAACAGAGUUGUGUGACUCUGUUCUUUAGUAGCAUGUUUGAAAUGUCUGAGUUUUUUACAGCUGAACUCUGAGUCUCCUGCUGCUGUUGUCGGUUUGUCGGUUUCUUGAUGUACAGAAAACAUAAACCAACUCGAGGUUCAAAUGAGCCUCUUAAUUCUUAACAUCUGAACUGUGAGUCAGACGAUCUGAGGACAGAUGGAAAUGAACUAUCCUGAACAUCCAGCAGACGACUGUAGACAUCAGACGUCUCUGAUCAUCAUCAUGUUCAGACUCAGACCAACAGUGUGUGUCUGUGCUGUCUGUCAGUGACUCUGAACUACAGUUUAUCCAUAUUCAGGCUGUUCAUGAGAUGAAACUGUGUUACAAACAUGAAUGAAUUUAUGUGCUAUAAUCUCAGAAUCAACUAUAGUUUUUUGUAUUUUAGAUUCAGGAUCAGCACUUUACAGUUUCAUUACAUAAUGUGUGAUGGUGUGUAGAUGAGGUCUGGUGGAUUAUAGAUGAUCAAUAACCAAUCUGAUAGUUUUAAGGAAUUAAUCAGCUACUACAGAACUGUUGCCUAAAUUGUGGGUGUUUAAACCCGUAUGGAAAAGAAAUAGAAAAAAACUUAUAAAAGACUUGCAUGGGGCCUACUUCAUAUAGUAAAUCAUAUAAGCCUUAUAUGAUUUACUCAUGAAAGUGGCCACUUUCUCAUUACUUUCAUAUAUUGUUUUAGUAAGUAUUCAAAACAUACACGUUUCAUUUAGAUAAUUUUUAAGGGAUCUUAUAUCUGUUUUCACUCUUGUAUGCUUUUCAUAAAAGUUUCACACAAGACAGAUACAAACUUUAUAAGAUUUAUAUAUAUAUAUAUCUUUUCCAUAUGGGAAGGUUGUAUAAAGUCCGUUAAGGUUUAAAGUUAGUAGAGCCCUUUAAUAUCAAUAUAAAACUUUUUCUUUCUGUCUGUGACUCUGCCAAACAUACAUGCAGAGCAGCUCACAGUAGAGACCUUUUUAGCAGCUGAAAGUAGCUUCUUAUUUAUUUGAUGUUACAAAAUUUUUUGAGUCAACACUCUUAAAAAAAUCCAUCUCAUUCGGUUUAACAGCUUAGAGCUUACAGUUAUAUGAAACUUAACAUUUGUGUAUUGCAGAUAUUUCGCUGAUCCUGUACUGUGAAGCUUGACAACCUCCUGAUGUUUGUUGCAGGAA